rnacentral:misc_RNA from 1 species
UCCUGGUUAACCCAGGCAGUCUCAUUAGAGUUCCCAUCUUAAUGUUGGCAACUAAUGAUAAGGGUUGCGCUCGUUGCGGGACUUAACCCAACACCUCACGGCACGAGCUGACGACAGCCAUGCAGCACCUGUGUAGAGACCCCGAAGGGAGAUCGCAUUUCUGCGACUGUCCUCUACAUGUCAAGUCUAGGUAAGGUUCUUCGCGUUGCAUCGAAUUAAACCACAUGCUCCACUGCUUGUGCGGGUCCCCGUCAAUUCUUUUGAGUUUCAGCCUUGCGACUGUACUCCCCAGGCGGUAUACUUAACGCGUUAGCUUCGGCACAACUAGGGUUGAGUCCAGUUACACCAAGUAUACAUAGUUUACGGCAAGGACUAC